rnacentral:rRNA from 1 species
UACGUAGGUGGCGAGCGUUGUCCGGAUUUACUGGGCGUAAAGGGAGCGUAGGCGGACUUUUAAGUGAGAUGUGAAAUACCCGGGCUCAACUUGGGUGCUGCAUUUCAAACUGGAAGUCUAGAGUGCAGGAGAUGAGAAUGGAAUUCCUAGUGUAGCGGUGAAAUGCGUAGAGAUUAGGAAGAACACCAGUGGCGAAGGCGAUUCUCUGGACUGUAACUGACGCUGAGGCUCGAAAGCGUGGGGAGCAAACAGGAUUAGAUACCCCGGUA